rnacentral:misc_RNA from 1 species
UCUUGUAUGAUAUGAUAUGAAAGCGAGUUUAAAUUCCUUUUAACAGCUCUGGGUGCCCUCCAAUUGGUUUUGUGAUUAUUGAAAUGUAUUUCUUUUCCAUUUGGGUACAGAUAUCUGGAGAGACAGCAUCUUCUACCGUGAAUACUGGGUCAUUAUCUGAUUUGUCUAAUAUAGCACAUGUAAGCUUGUAUGGUUUUGAGGAUUACCAUGGGGUUGAUAUUGGUGUCGUUAGGGCAGUCCGUCUCUGGUAUGCACCUCUAUGCGGAGAGUUUGCAAUAGAGAUGAAAAUAAAAGAAGGUGAUUCAAAGCUUGGGUUUGCUAUUAGUCGCACAGAAGAGGGAUUUAUCUACAUUUCAUCAGUUAUUGAUGGUAAUGAAAAUGUACCCUCAACAAGGUCAGGGCUCAACAAUCUGUACAAAGAAGCUAAGAGUGCAUCAAGAUUGCUGGUUGUUUCCAGAGUGUCAAACCAGAAGGUCCUUCCUUGGAUGGUUUCUUCAACAGGAGCAAUACGUUGUUAUGAUACUGUUUCGCUAAGCCAAAAACUUUCGCUCCAUCGGCAUGCCAAGACGCCUAUACUGAUUCAUGUUUUCUUAUGGGACCGAACAUUGGCUACUCCAAGUACAGGCAGUGCUAGGCUUAGGUCUAUCUCCCCUCCCAUCAUGUCAUUGCCACCUGAAAUUCAAUUGGCACGCCAUCCUAGUGAGAAUCAAAUACUUCCUAUGCCACCUGAAGUCCUUGAUGAGGGUGGAGUGAUUAGGGAUGUGCCAGAGAUUAGGCUUGAGCGUGACACGGCUGGAGAAGUCUCCUUCAGAUUCCAUGAUUUUUCACUUCCAAACAACUGGGUGUGAGUAUGACUAAUUCUUCAUUAUGCUUCCUCGUCAAUUGAUCAUUGUACAUACGGAAAUUUCAAGAUCACACGAGCUUGGAUCAAAGAUGGCUUAAUUUAGAAAAUUAGGAAUAAGAUCCUAGAAUUAUUCGAACUAUAGAGUGCAAAACCAAUACCUCGAUGUCAAUCAUCACCUUGUACCUGUUAUGUCAUUUUCUAUAUAAUUGAAGAGUUUACUCAUGUUUCUCUUUUCAAUGAUAAUUUAACAUUUUGUAAAUUCUUGC